UGGCUGAACACAGCUACCCUGGCAAGUGUGCACAGCCCUAUAUACAGUUUCUUUUUAAUUUCCCACCCCCUUCCAACAGCAGAGCCCAGGAGGGGACUUCAGUGAUGUUCAGCUUUCCUCCCACUUUCAAGUUGCAUCACUUGUGUGAUGCUCUUUGAAACUGGAACAUUCUACAUGAUGAUGAUAAACAUCCGCCAUGUGUCACAAUGUUUCUUCAAGUUAAGUGUCACAUUAUCUGGCAUUAUAAGUAGGUGCCUAUUUUUUAUUGUUGUGAUGCCUUAAUUACAGAUUCUGCACAGAUCAAUGGUAUUUCUCAUACAGAUUUAUCAAAUAUCUGUCAUAAGCUGGUGAUUUGUCCUUUUCAAUAUAGACUUUCUACUGAUUCAGGUGUUUAUCAUACACUUAAUAGAGCUUGCUAUAUGCCAAGCUAAGCCUGGGGUAUAUAGAAAUAAGGAAAACAGGGUUCUUAUUCUCAACCAUCAAUCACUUGGAAUUUAGAGGAGAAAUAAUUUAGAGAGAAUUGGUAUUUGUAAAUCACUGUGGUAAGUUUCAUGGCAUUGAUAUUUGCGCUGCAAGUUACAGGAUCAUGGAAGGGACCCUGAUUUCAUCCUGUGGCAUUAAGAAAGACAAAAAGAAGGCUUCCUAAGGGGCUGACUUAAAAGAGUGAAGAUAAAUUAUGGUGAAGAAGCAGCAGCUUGAAGCAAUAAAUGAAAGUAAGAAACAGUAGCUUCUGGCUUAGGAGCCAGAGGCAAUUUUGUGCUUGAACAGAACCUGUGAGGUGGGAAAUAGUAAAAAGCAGUGAGUAGCUGAAGUCAGGUCGUUGGUUCCCCCAUGAAAUGUUAGGGACUUCAGAUUUUCUCCAAAGCCAUUGAAGAUGUAUCAAAAGAACAAAUAAAGAGUACCAUUGGUCAGUUUAGGACCAUUGUGUGGUUUUGAGAUUAUUUUAUAAGACUCUGUGAAAUUUGUGUUUGAAAAAAAUGAGGUUUAAAUGACUGAAUGGUCACUUUUUGCUGGACCAAAACAUAGCCCUGAAGAAUGUUAAAGCCAAAACCAUUAACGUCUAAAAUUCAGUAUUUCACUGAAUGUCAUUAAAAUCAGGGUGUUACAUAUUUAUUUAUUUCUACUUAGAGAAGAAUGGGAGAGAUUGGAUACUAGCAAGCCUGAUGAUAUGUACAAGGCUUUGGGAGAGGGAGACAGUCACAAGUGUUUCUUGAGUCCCUGGCAGACACUGAACCAAUGGACAAAGAUAUAUGGAGUCAAGAAUAUUCUCAAAACUUGAGCUUUUCCAGUGGAUUGUCAAAAAAUAUAUUGAGUUUCUUAUCAGAAGUAUAAAGUCAGAAACCUAAAGAUUGAAGACAUUCAGAAAUUACUUGUUCAAUUAUUUUAUUUACCAAGGUCCAAGCAAAAGCCAAACAGGUGAAAUGAUUUAACUAAAUCAGGGAGGAAUUUUAAUUGCUCUUCAUUUACAGUUCUUUCCACUCAGCCAUACAAAGUUUAGGAUAAAAACAGAAGAUAUCAAUAAGUUUGGGCAUUGGGAGUGACUAUGAAUUACAUGUGUUAUGUGAUCCUAUCCUUGUCUAAGAGUCUAUAGAUUUUUAAAAAGAUAUUCCAUUUUAACAGAUUUAAGAUAAAAUGUUAGUGAAUGGGUUGAUACCUUCUGACUUCUCUCCAGUCAAAACUAAUAUGUUUGAAGUAAUCACAUUUUUUCCAUUGUCUCACUCCAAUUACCUUUUUUAUAUUACACUAUUGCCUUAUUGAAAGUUUUAGAGUUCUCUUCAGUAAACGUGUAUUGAGGGUCUAUAUUGAUAAAAUAGUUUCUCUAUCCUAGAGGAGGAUGUAGCCAGUAGUGUGAUCAUAUAUCAUUAAAAUAAAAAAUUUUAUUCCCUUCAUAAAACUGACUUUAGAUCACUUUGCUAAUCCUUUACAUCAAUGUUUUGUAAUACUGCAAGUAACAAUGCAAGCAGCAAUAUUAACUUAAAAUAUGAAGCCAUUCAUUAAGAGAAAAAAACCCAUGAUGGAUAAAAAUAUUUAAGUUUCUUAAAAACCAGAAAUACCUGGUAAGAUGAAAAACCAAAGACUGUGAAUAGUUUAUGAAAGAGUCUUAAGAAGUAUUUUGGCAAAUGGCAUUAGAAUAUUAAAUGAAAAGGUAAAGCAUUUGUCUUUUAUCCAGAAUAGCAAUAACUGUUAAUUCAGUAUUUCAAGUUACAAAAUGUGUGGACAUUUGUGUCUGUGUGGGUGCCAUUCAGUUCAGUCUUGGGCAAUUGAAAUGGCUAAAUAACACCCAUAUGGUAAACAGCUUGGUACGCCCAGUAUAAAGGAAAAGGUGUUGGCAGGGAAUCUGUGAAGGAGGCAUUAUUAUUUUCACUCAUAGAGGUGAUGUAAAUGUCUAGCUUCCAAGGCUUUGUUUCUUUCCUUUAGUUUUUUUUUCUUUUUCCUUUACUUCCUUCUUCCUUCCUUCCUUUCUUUUUGUUGCUAUGUUAGACUUUGGCUGGGUUUUCAUAGAAUGGAAUAUUUUUCAAUAUUAAGUGCUCAUGCCCAGAAAAUAUAUAGAGUUGGUUGUCUUGGAGGGUGAUAGAAGGCAACCUGUGUAUUUAGUUUCUAUAACAAGGAUCAGGUGCAUUAAGCAGAGAUGAAAAAACAUAAAAUAUGAUUUCUGGGAGUUCCCGUCAUGGCUCAGUGGUUAACGAACCCGACUAGUAUCCUUGAGGACAUGGGUUCACUCCCUGGGUUCGUUCAGCGGGUUAAGGAUCCAGUGUUGCUGUGAGCUGUAGUGUAGGUCUCAGAUACGGCUUGGAUCCUGCAUUGCUAUGGCUGUGGUGUAGGCCAGCAGACAGCUCUGAUUGAACCCCUAGCCUGGGGAACCUCCAUGUGCUAUGGGUAAGGCCCCAAAAAGACAAGAAAAAUAUGAUUUCUAUCUGACAAAAAUCUGCAUUCUUUAUAGGGCAGUAUGAUAUGGGAAGCAAAGAUAAUUCAACAGUAAUAGUUUAUUCUAUUAACACUUAAUAUAUAUUGAAUAUUAUCUACUAGGGCCCUUUUUAGUAAUUUCCACAUAUUGUUGAAUGAAUUUCAUUUUAUUUCCAUCAUGAGUCUGUGAAAUUAGCAUUAGUUGAUGAUGCUGAUUUUGCAGAUGUAGGAACUGAAGACCUGAGUGGUGAAUUUAAACCACUGAGUCUAUGGUCAGGAAUCUAACCCCAGACAGUCUUGCUCCAUAGCCCUACUUGUCACCACAGUGGUAGGAUGCCUUUAUAUAGUAAAAUAUCAAUUUUUUAAUAUUUUUGUAACAUUUCACAAGUUGUGGCAUUAGAAAAGACAUUUAAUACCACGUUGUUUAUAAUGGAUAUGGGGAAGAGGUCGGAAUUUGGAGUUAAGAGGAUGCAGCUUCACCAGUCUUAGGAAGUACUAGCUUCUAUAAUCCUCACCUUCUUCAUCUUUAAAAUGGCAACAUCAUUUCCCACAUGGUGUUGUUCUGAGGAUUAAAUUAAACUAUAUGUGUAAUGUAUUUAGCUGUUUAUUGACAUAUGGUAUGCUUUCAGUGAACUGUGUUUUUUUUUUUUUUUCAAAGCAAAGAUGUCUCGUCUAAAGAAAAUAGUGUGUGCAGACCAAUUAUCUGAAGUUUCAAGUAGUAAUAUUUGAAGUUUAUAUUUCUGAAGUAGAAGAUAAGCAUUAAAAACACUUUCCUUUUGUUUCAUUUUUGGAAAUAAAUAGUAUAUAUACCUCUGGUGCCAUAUAAUUUAAUUUUGAAUUUUUGAGUUUAAAAACCUCAAACAGAUACUUAUCAAAAGUAAAAUUUGAAUAGUUUGUCUCUGUUACUUGAAGGAAUGUUUUUGAACACACAACUUUGGAUUACUAAAAUCUGGGACUUUAAAUGCUACACCCAUGUCAAAUUGAUAACUAUUUUUGAGUUUUUACAGGGUUUUCUUUUUCAAUAUAACUUUUUAAAAAUUAUACAUCCAUCCCUGGAAAUGUUUCUUAGUAAUUACCAUAGAGGGUAAUGUGAAAGACAGUUUUCUCAUUUUAUUUUUAUACACCAAGAAUCAGAACUUUAAAAUCUCACAGAAAAUCUAACUAAACUAUUAAUUUUUUAACAUGUUUUGAAAUAUAACAUCCCUAAAACAAUACACCUUUGAAGAGGAAUAAUAUGCUUCAUUGAAAAUUAGUCAAACCACCUGACAUAAUAACAUCUUAAAUCAUUUUCUUAUUUUUAAAUAGAUUUGUAGAUAUUUUAAAGCACAUUCUGGGUGGAUUAUGUAAUGAUGUCUGCAAUACAAGAAUAACUAAAAAUGUAACUAAAAGAAUAAGCAUUAUAUUGAGUUAAUCUGCCAUAGGCAAUAUGAACACAAACCAGUUUAAGGGAGAUGUUCCAUAAAUAUGUUAAUGAAAUAAACAUCUGAUGCAAGGCUGAUACAUUACAAACAGAAAAAAAAUAUUCCAUUUUUUAAAAUAGUUCAAGACUUUUAAUGUAUUUUACACUUUCAUAAAAUAAACUAUGACUUGGAUCUAAACAUUAAAGAUUUUUGCCCUUAAAGACU
rnacentral:lncRNA from 1 species